UUCAAGGUGAUGAUAUACCCCAANAGGCCUU
rnacentral:piRNA from 1 species